rnacentral:lncRNA from 1 species
CUGCCCGGGGCGGCGUUGGGACCUCCCUCCCUCUGACGGGGGGAGGGGUCGGGGCUCUGCCCUUCCCUUCCGCGACGUUACUCGGGGGAGGCGUCCCCAUAGCCUCCUCGACCCUUGUCGGGCUGCUCGCCGCAGUCCUUGUCGAGGCCGGAAGCUCCUCGGCGCUCUCAGGCACAGCUGCCGCCGCAGGCUGCUCCGCGGUCUGCGGCGCCGCGUCCUCAGCGGCACAAGCAAGCUCGGCCACCCUCUGGCCGGCGACGUGGUCGGGGUUGACGUCCGACGCCGCGCUAAGGAACAAAGUAGCAUUUUCAACAAAAAAAAAAGAAAAAACAAAAAAUCGCCAAAGUACGUAAGUCGAACACUUACAGGUCUGAUCGACGAUGGGCCGCGGUGAACCUCCUCCUAGCCCUGCCGGUCGGCACCUGCGCCCCC